rnacentral:rRNA from 1 species
GGGUUGUGAGGUUAAGCGACUAAGCGUACACGGUGGAUGCCCUGGCAGUCAGAGGCGAUGAAGGGCGUGCUAAUCUGCGAUAAGCGCCGGUAAGGUGAUAUGAACCGUUAUAACCGGCGAUACCCGAAUGGGGAAACCCAGUGUGAUUCGUCACACUAUCAUUAACUGAAUCCAUAGGUUAAUGAGGCGAACCGGGGGAACUGAAACAUCUAAGUACCCCGAGGAAAAGAAAUCAACCGAGAUUCCCCCAGUAGCGGCGAGCGAACGGGGAGGAGCCCAGAGCCUGAAUCAGCAUGUGUGUUAGUGGAAGCGUCUGGAAAGGCGCGCGAUACAGGGUGACAGCCCCGUACACAAAAGCGCAUGUGCUGUGAGCUCGAUGAGUAGGGCGGGACACGUGGUAUCCUGUCUGAAUAUGGGGGGACCAUCCUCCAAGGCUAAAUACUCCUGACUGACCGAUAGUGAACCAGUACCGUGAGGGAAAGGCGAAAAGAACCCCGGCGAGGGGAGUGAAAAAGAACCUGAAACCGUGUACGUACAAGCAGUGGGAGCACCCUUUUGGGUGUGAC